rnacentral:rRNA from 1 species
UACGUAGGGGGCAAGCGUUGUCCGGAAUCAUUGGGCGUAAAGGGCGCGUAGGCGGCUUGGCAAGUGGAAGGUGAAAUCCCUCGGCUUAACCGAGGAACUGCCCUCCAAACUGCUUCGCUUGAGACCGGGAGAGGUGAGUGGAAUUCCCAGUGUAGCGGUGAAAUGCGUAGAUAUUGGGAGGAACACCAGUGGCGAAGGCGGCUCACUGGACCGGUACUGACGCUGAUGCGCGAAAGCGUGGGGAGCAAACGGG